rnacentral:rRNA from 1 species
CGGACGGGUGAGUAACGCGUGAGAAUCUGCCUUCAGGAUGGGGACAACAGCGGGAAACGGCUGCUAAUACCCGAUAUGCCGAGAGGUGAAAUCUAAUUGGCCUGAGGAUGAGCUCGCGUCUGAUUAGCUAGUUGGAGGUGUAAUGGACCCCCAAGGCGACGAUCAGUAGCUGGUCUGAGAGGAUGAUCAGCCACACUGGGACUGAGACACGGCCCAGACUCCUACGGGAGGCAGCAGUGGGGAAUUUUCCGCAAUGGGCGCAAGCCUGACGGAGCAAGACCGCGUGCGGGAGGACGGCCUAUUGGUUGUAAACCGCUUUUGAUAGGGAAGAAGAUCUGACGGUACCUAUCGAAUCAGCAUCGGCUAACUCCGUGCCAGCAGCCGCGGUAAUACGGAGGAUGCAAGCGUUAUCCGGAAUUAUUGGGCGUAAAGCGUCCGUAGGUGGUUAUUCAAGUCUGCUGUUAAAGCGUGCGGCUUAACCGCAUAUCAGCAGUGGAAACUGGAUGACUAGAGUGCGGCAGGGGUCAGGGGAAUUCCCAGUGUAGCGGUGAAAUGCAUAGAUAUUGGGAAGAACACCGGUGGCGAAAGCGCCUGACUGGACCUGCACUGACACUGAGGGACGAAAGCUAGGGGAGCGAAAGGGAUUAGAUACCCCUGUAGUC